rnacentral:rRNA from 1 species
UGGGGAAUUUUGGACAAUGGGGCAACCCUGAUCCAGCAAUGCCGCGUGUGUGAAGAAGGCCUUCGGGUUGUAAAGCACUUUUGUCCGGAAAGAAAACGCCGUGGUUAAUACCCGUGGCGGAUGACGGUACCGGAAGAAUAAGCACCGGCUAACUACGUGCCAGCAGCCGCGGUAAUACGUAGGGUGCAAGCGUUAAUCGGAAUUACUGGGCGUAAAGCGUGCGCAGGCGGUCCGCUAAGACAGAUGUGAAAUCCCCGGGCUUAACCUGGGAACUGCAUUUGUGACUGGCGGGCUAGAGUAUGGCAGAGGGGGGUAGAAUUCCACGUGUAGCAGUGAAAUGCGUAGAGAUGUGGAGGAAUACCGAUGGCGAAGGCAG